rnacentral:lncRNA from 1 species
GGUUUAAGCAUUUCAAAGUAUUAAUAUUUUCAGAAAAUGAAAAGAAAAAGAAAUAACAAUACGGCAAUAAUAAAAGACAAUGGGUGACAAAACGCCGAAAAAACAAUCUAGUGUUGUUGUUAUGAUUGUAAGGUGUACAUUUUCGACUUCUGCAAGGUUUCAACUGACAUCAAACUCAUUAUCAUGCAUCAUUCGGCAAUGUUUGUUUUAUGUUGUUUGUCCUUUUGGUUAUAUACCUUAAUGCUUAUAGCGCCAAGGUAUUUCGUGUAUGGUAUACAUGUAUAUCUGCAUGUUUCAUAUAUGACAAUGGUGAUGUCAAUUGAUAUAUUGAAUGAUAGUAAGAUGUCUAUGUCUGGCUGUCGGUCAGGGUUCAUAUACUUUUGACCUUAUGUUCCGAAUUAAUUGGCCAAGCAUAACUUUUACAUUUGUCAGUUUCUAAGGCACUGUAAGGAUCGGAACACAUUUAUUUGGUGUACGGGAUAUUUGUACAGAUCUGUAUGGCAUGGUUCAUCUGACCUUGACCUCUUUUUAUGAACCAAUGACAAUCUUAAGCGCAUUUGACACUUCUAGUAAAACCC